ACCUGGGUGGCUCAGUCGGUUGAGCGUCCGACUUCGGCUCGGGUCGUGAUCUCGCGGUCCGUGAGUUCGAGCCCCAGGUC
rnacentral:tRNA from 1 species